GAGGAUGCGAACCUCCGGGGGCAAGAGGUUCGACCCGAGCGAAGCGAGAAAACGUUGCGUCAGCAACGGCCCGCAGGGCGAGCCACGCAGCGGCGAGUCAUCCUC
rnacentral:sRNA from 1 species